GAUGAACGCUGGCGGCGUGCCUAAUACAUGCAAGUCGAGCGAACAGACGAGGAGCUUGCUCCUUUGACGUUAGCGGCGGACGGGUGAGUAACACGUGGGUAACCUACCUAUAAGACUGGGAUAACUUCGGGAAACCGGAGCUAAUACCGGAUAAUAUUUCGAACCGCAUGGUUCGAUAGUGAAAGAUGGAACUGCUAUCACUUAUAGAUGGACCUGCGCCGUAUUAGCUAGUUGGUAAGGUACCGGCUUACCAAGGCAACGAUACGUAGCCGACCUGAGAGGGUGAUCGGCCACACUGGAACUGAGACACGGUCCAGACUCCUACGGGAGGCAGCAGUAGGGAAUCUUCCGCAAUGGGCGAAAGCCUGACGGAGCAACGCCGCGUGAGUGAUGAAGGUCUUCGGAUCGUAAAACUCUGUUAUUAGGGAAGAACAAACGUGUAAGUAACUGUGCACGUCUUGACGGUACCUAAUCAGAGAGCCACGGCUAACUACGUGCCAGCCGCCGCGGUAAUAC
rnacentral:rRNA from 1 species